rnacentral:rRNA from 1 species
UUCGCCUUCAUGAAGCCGGAAUUGCUAGUAAUGGCAGGUCAGCAUACUGCCGUGAAUACGUUCCCGGGCCUUGUACACACCGCCCGUCACACCAUGAGAGUUGGGGAUACCCGAAGCCUGUGAGCUAACUAUUUAUAGGAGCAGCAGUCGAAGGUAGAAUCAAUGAUUGGGGUGAAGUCGUAACAAGGUACC